AAAAAUGAUGAUGGUUUUAAGGCGCAAAUAAAAAAUUCUAACUAUUAUGUAGAAUGAUGAUAAUUGGUUGUCAUCCUUGAACUGAUUUUUUUUUU